rnacentral:rRNA from 1 species
GAUGAACGCUGACAGAAUGCUUAACACAUCAGCAAUUGAUUGGUGGUGGACGGGGGAGUAACGCGUUAAGAACUUGCCCUAAAGUCAGGGACCACAUUUGGAAACGAAUGAUAAUAACUCAUACGUGGACAGAGCUUGGCGUCCCAUUAGCUAGUUGGGGAGGUAACGGAUCACCAAGGCGAUGGUGGGUAGCCGGCCUGAGAGGGUGAUCGGCCACAAGGGGCCUGAGACACGGCCCUUACUCCUACGGGAGGCAGCAGUGAGGAAUAUUGGACAAUGGACCAAAGUCUGAUCCAGCAAUUCUGUGUGCACGAUGAAGUUUUCGGAAUGUAAAGUGCUUUCAGUUGGGAAGCGGUACCAACAGAAGAAGUGACGGCUAAAUACGUGCGAGCAGCCGCGGUAAUUC